CCUACGGGUGGCAGCAGUGAGGAAUAUUGGUCAAUGGGAGCAACUCUGAACCAGCCAUGCCGCGUGCAGGAUGACGGCCCUACGAGUUGUCAACUGCUUUUGUGCCGGGAUAAACUGCGUUACGUGUAGCUUAUUGAAAGUACCGCAUGAAUACGGACCGGCUAACUCCGUGCCAGCAGCCGCGGUAAUACGGAGGGUCCGAGCGUUAUCCGGAUUUAUUGGGUUUAAAGGGCGCGUAGGUCGGUUCAUAAGUUAGCUGUGAAAUACCGAGGCUCAACAUCGGCGCUGCCGCUGGUACUGUAGGGCUAGAGGUCGGAUGCAGCAGGCGGAAUGUGUGGUGUAGCGGUGAAAUGCAUAGAUAUUACGAAGAACACCGAUUGCGAAGGCAGCUUGCU
rnacentral:rRNA from 1 species